CAUAAAAUAAUAAUAAUAAAAACCUUAAAGGCCUGUGACAGCAGUAACUAGGCCCAUUUGUGGGGCUUUAUUUCAGUUGCCUUAUAUACCUUUUUCAUGGGGAAAACAUCAUAGCAUAAAAUAUAGAUCAGCAAUGCCACUGACUUCAGAUUCUGUGACAAAGUAGAAAAUAUGUCUACUGCACUAAUUCUGCUGUGACUGCCAAGAGACGCUCAAGAGGACACGUGGCCACAUCUGUCAUGCAUAUGUACCGUUCCUAUCUCCAUCUGGACCAUGUGUUUUCUGCCAAUCUCUCCCACACAUCUAAUAUGGAGAUAAAUUAAUCUAGCUAUUAACAUUUCAAGCUAGACUCAGCAAAAAUAUUUCAUCUGUAAUUGGGGAGGUGGAGGCAGGAGGAUCGUGAGUUUGAGGCCAGCUUGGGGGUACAGAGUAAGAUCCUGCCUAAAAAAAAAUUCUGCGAGGCCCCACAAGAUGGCUGAGUGGGUCAAGGCUGCCGAACCUGGUGACCCUUCAAUCCCCAGGAUCCACACGAUGGCAGGCGAAAGCUUUUACAAGUUGUCCUCUGGCCUCCCCACAGACUGGUGGCACACACACACCUAUGCUCACACAUGCAAAAUAAAAUUUUAAUUGAGAGACACAAGAUGUUGAGAUUUAAUGAACACACACACACACACCAGUGUGGGUGAAAAUAUACCAACUCCACCUGCCCCCCUCCUCCAUCAUCUAAAUUCUUUACUGAUCUUGAGUUCAAAUCAGUCCCCACUUCCCUGAACAUGACUGCUCACCAGUGUUUUAUGCACACCACAGGCUAUACAGACAGCCUUUUUUUUUUUUUUUUUACAAUGUACCAAAACAUUUUUUCAUGAAUUAUAAUUCAAGGGGAAGUCCAUCCAUGACCUGUUUCGUAGCUGCUGGGGGUCAGCCACCACUUUGUGCUCUGCCCUGAGUGCUGAGAUGUGCAGGUGUGAGUCAACGUGCCUGGCUGACUAAUUAAUACACCUUCACUGUGACCCACAGAACCUGACAAUGAAUACGGAGCAUCGUUGUUUCUUCAGUAGAGAAAAGUAAGUAGCCUUUUUUUUCACUUGGGCUCUUGAGCUUAUAAAGUUUUGUAUUAUUGUUUUAUAUCACUGUACACAUGGCUAUACCCUCUUUUCCUCCAUUCUCUCUGAGGAGGAUGAAGUUUUUCCAUUAAACAUGGGCAUGAGUUAAAACAGCAGCUUCUCGAACGAUACCCAGGAAAACCAACGACAUCGUGAUCAUCACUGCAGAAAUUUAGAACGCCGUUUUUCUAGUGGCACUAAGAAAUCCAGGAAAGCCACAGAUGUCUUGUUAUGGCUGCUCAGCAUUAGCUUCCACAUUGUUGCAGCCUUAGACCUACCACAGGAGAAAAUGAAUCAGUUGGAAGGCCCCUCCCAACUGGACAGGUAGGUAUUGCCAGUAGCCCUGACAACCAAACCAACCAAAACAGGAAGGAAACGCCCCUUUGGAAGGCUAAGUGUGUCAACUGUGACCUCAGGCGAGGCGAGGCUCCCAGAAAGGCUGAGCUCUGUGCUAGUUGCCAGUCAGGGAGCCACAUUACUUUCUGAACAAACAGGAGGGAUCAGAAGGGUCUCUGAGCCAUAGGUCCCCUUUUUGAUCUCUCUCUCGGAGCAGGGGAAUGCCUGGUUCUCCCUACCUAGUGCAAAUGCCUCCAGAAAGCAGUUUGGCAGAAUGGCUGGGACCGAGCCUUGCUCUGCUGUGUCCUUGAUGAACGUGUCCCUUCCCAGUCAGGGAUGAGAUUCCAUCCUCGUCCCGCACAGGAGUCUAGUUCUCUUUUGUAGCUCACUCCCCAAGUAUCAUGGUGGCAGUGUCCCAGGGAGCGCCUUGACUCGUGUAUGCUAAGGAGAUGAUCCCGGAAUGAAGGGCCGAAUAUGAAACCUCUGUAACAAGUAGGACCCCGGAACAUAAUACUUUUUUUCCUGGUUCAAGUUUAGGAUUAAAUGAAGAGAAAUUGGAAGGGUUCCAGAGGAUAGUAAUGAAAAUGAUUAAAGGGCUGAUGAUGAAAGCCUCGAGGACUUGGGAUUACUUAGCCCGGAGAAGAGAAAUCGGAGGGGUGGUUUAAUGGUGAUCUUCAAGUGCAGUACGUGGAGGGUUAUUACAAGCAUGGGAGCCAGCUGUUCCCCAGCUGUACCCACGGCUGAAAAGGAAAGAACUAGAAUUUCAGGGAGGGAUUUCAGUUCGCCAGUGAUAACCAGGGGAUCUCAGGCAAACUCAAAAGGUGGAAGGGCAUGAAGGGCGACAUUUUAAUGUCUGGAGUUUCUGCUAAGUCAGGUAGCAAUGUGGAAUAGUGGAGCAAGGGCUGAUGGGGAAACGCUGGGCAAUCACUAAACACUGAGAACAUUUGGACUCUGCGGGGAUGGAUGGUGCUGCUGACCUUCUCCUCGUGGGCUCCAGGAUCUGGGGAGCUCAGGUUGAAAUCCAGUGAGCUCUGACAGCACUCACUGGCUAUGAGCCUCACUCAUCCACCAAGGCUGGAGUCCUCGUGGGGCCUGUGGGGCCUGUGGUGAGCAAGGAGAAUCCCACCGCCACAUGGCUCUGGUGACCCCCUUUCUGACCCUGUUUCCUGUCCGUGCCUGGCAAAGAGAUGAGACUCCGGGUCUUCAUGCACGGGAGGCAGGGGUUGUCCUGUGCCCCCGCGGGCUUCAGUUCAUCGCCAACUCUCAAUCAUCAGCAACUUUAUUCUUAAUAAAAGGACACUUUUAAAAAAAUGUUUUAUUACAAAGCUUCUUUUAAAAAAUGCUCAGCACGUUAACUCAAACUGGAGAGACAGACGUUAAGAUGACAAUUGGGGGCAAAGGCUGUGCCUUGCCAUUUCAAAGUAACAGAUACAUCAACGCUCAUUUUAACAACUGGCAUAAAUCCCCGCUAAUUGGCUAAUAAAAACAGAUACAAAUACAGAACAUUGAAAGUAAUAACCAUUCAAGUGCUGGGCUUUUUUACAAGAGUGAAAAGAAAGAAAAGAAAAUCCACCGCAAAGGGGUUUGCUCAAAGUGUGUGUUAAAGUUUGUCAUCAUAAAAAAAAAA